CGUAGCUCAGCUGGUUAGAGCGCCAGGUUGUGGCCCUGGAGGCCGUGGGUUCAAAUCCCAUCG
rnacentral:tRNA from 1 species